rnacentral:rRNA from 1 species
AUUGAACGCUGGCGGCAGGCCUAACACAUGCAAGUCGAGCGGAACGGCGGACGGGUGAGUAAGGCCUAGGAAUCUGCCUGGUAGUGGGGGAUAAGGUACGGAAAAGGGCGAUAAUACAGCAUCCUCUACGAUGCACCUAGGGCGGAUUGGCUAGUUGGUGGGGUAAAGGCCUACCAAGGCGACGAUCCGUAACUGGUAUGAGAGGAUGAACAGUCAAACUGGAACUGAGACACGGUCCAGACUCCUACGGGAGGCAGCAGUGGGGAAUAUUGGACAAUGGGCGAAAGCCUGAUCCAGCCAUGCCGCGUGUGUGAAGAAGGUCUUCGGAUUGUAAAGCACUUUAAGUUGGGAGGCGUUACCAACAGAAUAAGCACCGGCUAACUUCGUGCCAGCAGCCGCGGUAAUAC